UUCGCAAGACAAGAAAACAUUUCUAAUAAAUUUUAACUCGAUAAAUAAGGAACGUCUUGCAAUACAAGUGGUAUGUAACACUGAAUGUCACGUGAAC